CAGCCCCUUUGAGUGGUAGGGAUGAUUAUUUGGCCUAAAACGUCUGUAGCCGGCUUGGCAAGUCUUUCGUUAAAUCCGGUGACUUAAUCAUCGGGCUGCGAGAGAUACUACUUUGCUUGAGGACGGGAGAGGUCGACGGUAUUCCGGGGGUAGGGGUAAAAUCCUAUAAUCCUCGGAGGACCACCAGUGGCGAAGGCGGUCGACUAGAACGUGCCUGACGGUGAUGGACGAAAGCUGGGGGAGCAAACCGGAUUAGACACCCGGGUAGUCCCAGCUGUAAACGAUGCGGGCUAGGUGUUGGGGCAGCUACGAGCUGCUCCCAGUGCCGUAGAGAAGUCAUUAAGCCUGCUGCCUGGGGAAGUACGGUCGCAAGACUG
rnacentral:rRNA from 1 species